rnacentral:rRNA from 1 species
UACAGAGGGGGCAAGCGUUGUUCGGAAUUACUGGGCGUAAAGGGUGCGUAGGUGGCGAGGCAAGUCAGAUGUGAAAUCCCGGGGCUCAACCCCGGAACUGCAUUUGAAACUGCCUUGCUCGAGUACUGGAGAGGAGACUGGGAAUUUACGGUGUAGCAGUGAAAUGCGUAGAUAUCGUAAGGAAGACCAGUGGCGAAGGCGAGUCUCUGGACAGUUACUGACACUGAGGCACGAAGGCCAGGGGAGCAAACGGG